ACACACACACACACGUGCACACACACACACACGUGUGUGUGUAUGCACACGUGUGUGUGUGUAUGCACACGUGUGUGUGUGUGUAUGCACACGUGUGUGUGUAUGCACACGUGUGUGUGUAUGCACACACGUGUGUGUGUGUGUAUGCACACACGUGUGUGUGUGUGUAUGCACACACGUGUGUGUGUAUGCACACACGUGUGUGUGUG